CAGGCUGCAACCCGCCUGCAUGAAGUUGGAAUCGCUAGUAAUCGCGGAUCAGCAUGCCGCGGUGAAUACGUUCCCGGGCCUUGUACACACCGCCCGUCACACCAUGAGAGUCGGGAACACCCGAAGUCCGUAGCCUGACCGCAAGGGGGGCGCGGCCGAAGGUGGGUUCGAUAAUUGGGGUGAAGUCGUAACAAGGUAAC
rnacentral:rRNA from 1 species